rnacentral:rRNA from 2 species
UUCGCCCUUUUCCGGUUGAUCCUGCCGGACCCGACUGCUAUCGGAUUGAGAUUUAGCAUGCGAGUCGAACGUCCCCCUGUUGCGGGGGGCGUGGCAUACGGCUCAGUAACACGUAGUCAACCUGCCCUAAAGACGCGGACAACCCCGGGAAACUGGGAUUAAUCCGUGAUAGGCCAUCCCAUCUGGAAGGAGGGAUGGCUUAAAGGGGUGCGCGGGCUUCUUCUGCGCAUUCGCUCUAGGAUGGGACUGCGUCCGAUCAGGCUGUUGGCGGGGUAAUGGCCCACCAAACCUGUAACCGGUACGGGCCUUGAGAGAGGUGGCCCGGAGAUGGACACUGAGAGAAGGGUCCAGGUCCUACGGGGCGCAGCAGGCGCGAAACCUUCGCGAUGCGCGAAAGCGUGACGAGGUUAACCCGAGUGGUCCCCGCUGAGGGGAUCUUUUGUUGGCUGUAAAAAGGCCGGUGAAUAAGGGGAGGGCAAGUCUGGUGUCAGCCGCCGCGGUAAUACCAGCUCCUCGAGUGGUCGGGGCGAUUAUUGGGCCUAAAGCAUCCGUAGCCGGUUCCGUAGGUCUUCUGUAAAAUCCAGCCGCUCAACGGUUGGCCCGCAGAAGAUACCGCGGGACUAGGAGGCGGGAGAGGUGGACGGUACUCCGCGUGCAGGGGUAAAAUCCUUUGAUCCGCGGAAGACCACCAGUGGCGAAGGCGGUCCACCAGAACGCGCUCGACGGUGAGGGAUGAAAGCUGGGGGAGCGAACCGGAUUAGAUACCCGGGUAGUCCCAGCCGUAAACGAUGCUAGCUAGAUGAUUCAGUCGCAAAUCGCGAUUGAAGUGUCGCAGGGAAGCCGUUAAGCUAGCCGCCUGGGGGGUACGGUCGCAAGACUGAAACUGGAAGCCGAGUUUAUCUCGACUUCCGGCAGUACACUUAAGGGAAUUGGCGGGGGAGCACCACAAGGGGUGAAGCCUGCGGUUCAAUUGGAGUCAACGCCAGGAAACUUACCAGGAGAGACAGCAGGUUGAGGGUCAAGCUGAAGACUUUACCUGACGAGCUGAGAGGAGGUGCCUGGCCGUCGCCAGCUCGUGCCGUGAGGCGUCCUGUUAAGUCAGGCAACGAGCGAGACCCAAAGGGCGAA